AACCUCCCACCCGUGACUACCUAACACUGUUGCUUCGGCGGGGAGCCCUCUCGGGGGCGAGCCGCCGGGGACUACUGAACUUCAUGCCUGAGAGUGAUGCAGUCUGAGUCUGAAUAUAAAAUCAGUCAAAACUUUCAACAAUGGAUCUCUUGGUUCCGGCAUCGAUGAAGAACGCAGCGAACUGCGAUAAGUAAUGUGAAUUGCAGAAUUCAGUGAAUCAUCGAGUCUUUGAACGCACAUUGCGCCCCCUGGCAUUCCGGGGGGCAUGCCUGUCCGAGCGUCAUUGCUGCCCAUCAAGCCCGGCUUGUGUGUUGGGUCGUCGUCCCCCCCGGGGGACGGGCCCGAAAGGCAGCGGCGGCACCGUGUCCGGUCCUCGAGCGUAUGGGGCUUUGUCACCCGCUCGAUUAGGGCCGGCCGGGCGCCAGCCGACGUCUCCAACCAUUUUUUUCAGGUUGACCUCGGAUCAGGUAGGGAUACCCGCUGAACUUAAGCAUAUCAAUAAGCGGAGGAACAUUACCGAGUGCGGGCUGCCUCCGGGCGCCAACUCCACCCGUGACUACCUAACACUGUUGCUUCGCGGGGAGCCUCUNGGGGCGAGNCGGGGACUACUGAACUUNUGCUGAGAGUGAUGCNNCUGAGUCUGAAUAUAAAAUCAGUCAAAACUUUCAACA
rnacentral:rRNA from 1 species